AGCAGCGUGGCUCAGUGGAAAGAGCCUGGGCUUUGGAGUCAGAGGUCAUGGGUUCGAUUCCUGGCUCUGCCA
rnacentral:tRNA from 1 species